rnacentral:rRNA from 1 species
AUUGAACGCUGGCGGCAGGCCUAACACAUGCAAGUCGAACGAGUGGCGGACGGGUGAGUAAUGUCUGGGAAACUGCCCGAUGGAGGGGGAUAACUACUGGAAACGGUAGCUAAUACCGCAUACCAUCGGAUGUGCCCAGAUGGGAUUAGCUAGUAGGGGGGGUAACGGCUCACCUAGGCGACGAUCCCUAGCUGGUCUGAGAGGAUGACCAGCAACACUGGAACUGAGACACGGUCCAGACUCCUACGGGAGGCAGCAGUGGGGAAUAUUGCACAAUGGGCGCAAGCCUGAUGCAGCCAUGCCGCGUGUAUGAAGAAGGCCUUCGGGUUGUAAAGUACUUUAAGUUGGGAGGCGUUACCGACAGAAUAAGCACCGGCUAACUCUGUGCCAGCAGCCGCGGUAAUAC